CAGUCGCCACGGGAAUACGAAGGGUGCAAGCGUUAAUCGGAAUUACUGGGCGUAAAGCGUGCGUAGGCGGUUUGUUAAGUCUGCUGUGAAAUCCCCGGGCUCAACCUGGGAAUGGCAGUGGAUACUGGCAAGCUAGAGUGUGUCAGAGGAUGGUGGAAUUCCCGGUGUAGCGGUGAAAUGCGUAGAGAUCUGGAGGAAUACCGAUGGCGAAGGCAGCCAUCUGGCCUAAUACUGACGCUGAGGUACGAAAGCAUGGGGAGCAAACAGGAUUAGAUACCCCCGUAGUCCCUGUCUCUUAUAC
rnacentral:rRNA from 1 species